AUGAACGCUAGCUACAGGCUUAACACAUGCAAGUCGAGGGGCAGCAUGAUUGAAGCUUGCUUCAAUUGAUGGCGACCGGCGCACGGGUGAGUAACACGUAUCCAACCUGCCGAUAACUCGGGGAUAGCCUUUCGAAAGAAAGAUUAAUACCCGAUAGCAUAGUAUUUCCGCAUGGUUUCACUAUUAAAGAAUUUCGGUUAUCGAUGGGGAUGCGUUCCAUUAGAUAGUUGGCGGGGUAACGGCCCACCAAGUCAACGAUGGAUAGGGGUUCUGAGAGGAAGGUCCCCCACAUUGGAACUGAGACACGGUCCAAACUCCUACGGGAGGCAGCAGUGAGGAAUAUUGGUCAAUGGACGAGAGUCUGAACCAGCCAAGUAGCGUGAAGGAUGACUGCCCUAUGGGUUGUAAACUUCUUUUAUACGGGAAUAAAGUGGAGUAUGCAUACUCCUUUGUAUGUACCGUAUGAAUAAGGAUCGGCUAACUCCGUGCCAGCAGCCGCGGUAAUACGGAGGAUCCGAGCGUUAUCCGGAUUUAUUGGGUUUAAAGGGAGCGUAGGCGGGUGCUUAAGUCAGUUGUGAAAGUUUGCGGCUCAACCGUAAAAUUGCAGUUGAUACUGGGUACCUUGAGUGCAGCAUAGGUAGGCGGAAUUCGUGGUGUAGCGGUGAAAUGCUUAGAUAUCACGAAGAACUCCUAUUGCGAAGGCAGCUUACUGGACUGUAACUGACGCUGAUGCUCGAAAGUGUGGGUAUCAAACAGGAUUAGAUACCCUGGUAGUCCACACAGUAAACGAUGAAUACUCGCUGUUGGCGAUACACAGUCAGCGGCCAAGCGAAAGCAUUAAGUAUUCCACCUGGGGAGUACGCCGGCAACGGUGAAACUCAAAGGAAUUGACGGGGGCCCGCACAAGCGGAGGAACAUGUGGUUUAAUUCGAUGAUACGCGAGGAACCUUACCCGGGCUUAAAUUGCAGCGGAAUGUAGUGGAAACAUUACAGCCUUCGGGCCGCUGUGAAGGUGCUGCAUGGUUGUCGUCAGCUCGUGCCGUGAGGUGUCGGCUUAAGUGCCAUAACGAGCGCAACCCUUAUCUAUAGUUACUAUCAGGUCAUGCUGAGGACUCUAUGGAGACUGCCGUCGUAAGAUGUGAGGAAGGUGGGGAUGACGUCAAAUCAGCACGGCCCUUACGUCCGGGGCUACACACGUGUUACAAUGGGGGGUACAGAAGGCAGCUACCUGGCGACAGGAUGCUAAUCCCAAAAACCUCUCUCAGUUCGGAUUGGAGUCUGCAACCCGACUCCAUGAAGCUGGAUUCGCUAGUAAUCGCGCAUCAGCCACGGCGCGGUGAAUACGUUCCCGGGCCUUGUACACACCGCCCGUCACACCAUGAGAGUUGGAGAUACCCGAAGCCUGUGAGCUAACUUUUAGAGGCAGCAGUCGAAGGUAGAGCCAAUGAUUGGGGUG
rnacentral:rRNA from 1 species